rnacentral:rRNA from 1 species
CGCUAAUACCCAAUGUGCCGAGAGGUGAAACUUAUAUGGCCUGAGGAUGAGCUCGCGUCUGAUUAGCUAGUUGGAGUGGUAACGGCACCCCAAGGCGACGAUCAGUAGCUGGUCUGAGAGGAUGAUCAGCCACACUGGGACUGAGACACGGCCCAGACUCCUACGGGAGGCAGCAGUGGGGAAUUUUCCGCAAUGGGCGAAAGCCUGACGGAGCAAGACCGCGUGAGGGAGGAAGGCCUACUGGUUGUAAACCUCUUUUGAUAGGGAAGAAGACAAUGACGGUACCUAUCGAAUCAGCCUCGGCUAACUCCGUGCCAGCAGCCGCGGUAAUACGGAGGAGGCAAGCGUUAUCCGGAAUUAUUGGGCGUAAAGCGUCCGUAGGUGGCGAACCAAGUCAGUUGUUAAAGCGUGGAGCUUAACUCCAUAUCAGCAAUUGAAACUGGUUGGCUAGAGUGCGAUAGGGGCAAGGGGAAUUCCCAGUGUAGCGGUGAAAUGCGUAGAUAUUGGGAAGAACAUCGGUGGCGAAAGCGCCUGCUGGGUCUGCA